CGGCGUGCCUAAUACAUGCAAGUAGAACGCUGAAGAGAGGAGCUUGCUCUUCUUGGAUGAGUUGCGAACGGGUGAGUAACGCGUAGGUAACCUGCCUUGUAGCGGGGGAUAACUAUUGGAAACGAUAGCUAAUACCGCAUAACAAUGGAUGACACAUGUCAUUUAUUUGAAAGGGGCAAUUGCUCCACUACAAGAUGGACCUGCGUUGUAUUAGCUAGUAGGUGAGGUAAUGGCUCACCUAGGCGACGAUACAUAGCCGACCUGAGAGGGUGAUCGGCCACACUGGGACUGAGACACGGCCCAGACUCCUACGGGAGGCAGCAGUAGGGAAUCUUCGGCAAUGGGGGCAACCCUGACCGAGCAACGCCGCGUGAGUGAAGAAGGUUUUCGGAUCGUAAAGCUCUGUUGUAAGUCAAGAACGGGUGUGAGAGUGGAAAGUUCACACUGUGACGGUAGCUUACCAGAAAGGGACGGCUAACUACGUGCCAGCAGCCGCGGUAAUACGUAGGUCCCGAGCGUUGUCCGGAUUUAUUGGGCGUAAAGCGAGCGCAGGCGGUUUGAUAAGUCUGAAGUUAAAGGCUGUGGCUCAACCAUAGUUCGCUUUGGAAACUGUCAAAC
rnacentral:rRNA from 1 species